GACUCCUCUGCCCUAAGGGAGGCCCUGCACUGCGAUUUUGAAGACCGUUCAAACGAAGGCCGAGCUCCUCGCAGAUUCAAGCCCUCAAUCCACCAACGCGAAGCCCAGAGCUGCGAGAGGGGUGAAGCUUUUUCAUUUGUCUUUCCUUUGACAGAAUCACCAUGGCAUCUUCUCAAUCAUCAUCUUUAGAUAAUGAUUUUGUCAUGGAGUCACCAACUUGUUGGUGUGGUUUGAAAACGCCACUAAAGACGUCCUACACUAAGAAAAAUCCUGGAAGGAGAUUUUUUGCCUGUCCCAAAUAUAAUACGGGAGAUGCGAGGUGUGAAUUCUUCGUAUGGGCGGAUAUUUUUGAGUUGUUAGUGGAGAACAUGUUAUUAAAACAUAACUCGCGGCGUAAUACAUGGGAUGAUGUAUUACGCCGCGAGUAUGCCGUUCGGAAAAGGGAAGAAAAAGUGAGAGAGAUAGCGAAGAAUCUGAAAAAGGAAAAGCGAAAGUUAUUGUGUUUGUACUGGAUUAUCACCUUUGUAAUAUUGUUUACAUGGUUUGGAUAAAUGUAAUGUAAGAAGCACGUUGUGUAAAAUUAUGUAAUUUUUGAAUAGAAACAGCUUCUCCUUUAAAGGUUGAAAGUGCAUGAAUGGUUUGGGGACUGCUUAGGGACAGUCUCCUUCGACCACUAGUAUAGGGCUUAAAAUGCCCCCAAAAUUUCUGUAAUUGGGAACUGGAUUGACUUUGAACCAGAAUACACUUUCUUAUUUUGCAUGACAAGAAACAAAA